UGCUGCUGCUCGCACAAACUACCGUCCCGGGAAACGCACGUCGCCCCCUGGUGGUGGAGGAGGAGGAGCGCGGCGCUGCUCCCGCCUCCGGCUCAGGCAGGUUGAUUUAGGGAGAGGGGAGUGAGCCGGCCGUGGCCGAGCUCCAGCCCGCUGUCGACAACAACCAUACCUCUUAAUUAAUUAGCCUUCAAUAUGUUUCUGAAGUGAAUUAUUAUUGUUGCCGUCAUUACUUUUGAGGCUUAUGUUGAAUAUAUUACACCUCGACACCAUGUGACGCACCUUCAGAACAUCUGCCUGCACACCGAGUGUGGUCGCUGCUCGAGUCCCCUUGAAACCACACACUUCCUUACAUUCCAUAAGUGGUGUAUUAAUAUGGGGAUAUAAGGAAGCAUGUCCUCACAAGGGGCAACAACUGGAUUCAACGCUCCUCUGGCACAAAGCACCCUUUCAUAGGCAGAGGAGAGCAGGAACAACCCGGCUUAACAAUGGUUAACUGUGACAGAGCGGGAUGACGGGAGGACACGUGAUGGCGGCCUGGAUCAUCUGCGCCACAGAAAUGUAACUUUUUUGGGGGGGCUGACAGAGAAGGAAAACUCUAAUUUUCUGCCACUUGUAAGGCAAGUUGUCUUACUCUUGUCCUCCAACACAAGCAGGAAAUAUGACUUUUCUGCGCUGAAAAGAAAAUGCGCACUCUCCUCUCAAAGUUACCAGAAAACAGACGAUCAAGGCUGUGUAAUAGCCCGCCCCGUGCAGCUCUUUGAUGGGUCGUGCCAAUGUGGUGAUGCUGAACUCAAAUAACUGCGGAGGGCGAGGCGAAUUCUGACUUCCAGCGCACAAAGGUCACAAUCUGUGCUCUUUCCUAAGCCAUGCCAAGUCAUUUUAACCCAAGCAGCUGUGUAAAAAAAAAAAAAAAUCUCUCAAAAGAUCAGAAAAUGAGCAUUAAAUAAGAACAAAAAAUGUA